AAUAAACCUUGCUGCAGUUAUGUUCUGUAUUUUAGUUUUAUUGUGAAAAAGUCAGAAAAUUGUCAAAAAUAGCUGUUUUGAGAGGAUAAAAUUGCUGUGCAGCUAAAAAAAAAAAAAAAAAAAAAAAUCAAAGUUUGGCAUGAAAAAUGGACUUUUCUAUUGUUUUGCAAAAAAUGUAGUUGGAAAAAGACACUUAUUUGCCAGGAACAAAAAUCGUGUUACACAGUUUUUUCCGUCAUACUGGCA